rnacentral:rRNA from 1 species
AUUGAACGCUGGCGGCAGGCCUAACACAUGCAAGUCGAGCGAGCGGCGGACGGGUGAGUAAUGUCUGGGAAACUGCCUGUUGGAGGGGGAUAACUACUGGAAACGGUAGCUAAUACCGCAUACCAUCAGAUGUUACCAGAUGGGAUUAGCUAGUAGGUGGGGUAAUGGCUCACCUAGGCGACGAUCCCUCGCUGGUCUGAGAGGAUGACCAGUCACACGGGAACUGAGACACGGCCCAGACUCCUAAGGGAGGCAGCAGUGGGGAAUAUUGCACAAUGGGCGAAAGCCUGAUGCAGCCAGGCCGCGUGUGUGAAGAAGGCCUUCGGGUUGUAAAGCACUUUCAGCGAGGAGGCGUUACUCGCAGAAGAAGCACCGGCUAACUCCGUGCCAGCAGCCGCGGUAAUUC